UUUGUAUUUAGGGACGCAUACGACUAGGAACUAAAAGUUACCUGUUCACUUAGUGCAUACAGAGAUAAGAAUAAUUCGAAAGUUCAGGCAUUGUUACCAAGCAAAGAUUCGAACAAUGGCAUUAAUUGUUAUUGGGGUUAGAGCAGUUGCAGUUGGUGUUGCAGGAUAUUUAUCACAUGUGCCAGCAUUGAUAAGUAACGCAAUCGCAUUCAAGCAUAAAAAUAUGAAAGUCAACAACUUAAAAAAUCUAAAGAAAGGGGAUCAUAUAAUAUUUAAAAGGAAAGGACCUGGGCCUUCUCAUCAUGCCAUCGUGGUUGAUUUUAAUGAAGCAGAGAAUAAAUAUAGCAUUAUUCACCUCAGAAGCAUCGAGGGAUGUGGCAAUUCUGGGUGUAAGAGCAAUGCUUCGAUAAUGGAAGACACCAAAACAUUUCAUCCGGGUAAAGUAACUUUAAGACAAUAUGCAAAGAGUCAAUUAAGAAGAGAGCAAAUUGUCGAAAGAGCAUAUUCGUUGCUGAAGAAACUUGACAAAAUCGAUUACAAUGCUCUAACAAACAACUGCGAACAUGUAGCUACCUGGUGUAUAUUUGGGUACAAUAGGAGCGAACAGAUUGAUGACGUAAUGGCAAUGUUAGGACCAAUUGGGAUGGUCCCUAAACUCGUCGAGAACAUAAGCCGAUUAGUGAAAGACGGUGAUCCAGCUAACUAACUGUUAUAAGUGAAUCAGCAGAAUUACUGGAUGGGAGCAACAGAUUUCAAGGAGGGUGAUUGGAGAUGGGUGAAUGAUCUGUCUAAAGUAGAUUUUACAAGUUGGCAAUCGAGUCAACCUGAUAAUUCAGGAGGCAAAGAGGACUGUGGUCAUUUCUGGCAUGGAUACAACUAUAAAUGGAAUGACCAGCAUUGCAAUGAUAACUUUGCGUUUAUUUGUGAAAGCCCUCUGGGUUCUAAUUGUCUUCCAUACUCAAGACUGUUAAAGAGUGCUGUUAGUAGAAAGUAGCAACAUGCAACCUGUCGUGAAAAAUUUGAAAUGAUAAAAGUUUGAUUCAUA